GACGAACGCUGGCGGCGUGCCUAACACAUGCAAGUCGAACGGACAUUUCCCUUCUAGCGGCGGAGGUCGAAGUGAGGCCUGGUGAGUAGCGCUUGUGUGAGUAACACUUGUGUGAAAUUGAGCAUAAUGGCGCAUACGCCAGUGUAGGUAAUGAUAUAUCGGUGAAGGAUCGGCCCGCGGUAGAUUAGGGAGUUGGUAGGGUAAUGGCCUACCAAGCCGACGAUCCAUAGCUGGUGUGAGAGGAUGACCGGCCACACUGGGACUGAGACACGGCCCAGACUCCUACGGGAGGCAGCAGUGGGGAAUAUUAGACAAUGGGGGCAACCCUGAUGGAGCCACGCCGCGUGAGUGAUGAAGGAGUUCGGGUUGUAAAGCUCUUUCAGCUGGGAAGAUAAUGACGGUACCAGAAGAAGAAGCCCCGGCUAACUACGUG
rnacentral:rRNA from 1 species